rnacentral:rRNA from 1 species
UACAGAGGGUGCAAGCGUUGUUCGGAAUUAUUGGGCGGAAAGGGCGCGUAGGCGGUGCGGUAAGUCAGGUGUGAAAUCUCGGGGCUUAACUCCGAAACUGCAUUUGAUACUGCGGUGCUUGAGGACUGGAGAGGAGACUGGAAUUUACGGUGUAGCAGUGAAAUGCGUAGAGAUCGUAAGGAAGACCAGUGGCGAAGGCGGGUCUCUGGACAGUUCCUGACACUGAGGCACGAAGGCCAGGGGAGCAAACGGG